AAACUGAGGAUAAUACUGGAUAGGCAAUUAUUCCUGGAAUGGAUUUUUGUUUAAAUGUUUUUUCGCCUAAGGAUGGGUCUGCGGCCGAUUAGGUAGUUGGUUAGGUAACGGCUUACCAAGCCAUUGAUCGGUACGGGUUGUGAGAGCAAGAGCCCGGAGAUGGAACCUGAGACAAGGUUCCAGGCCCUACGGGGUGCAGCAGGCGCGAAACCUCCGCAAUGUGAGAAAUCGCGACGGGGGGAUCCCAAGUGCCAUUCUUAACGGGAUGGCUUUUCAUUAGUGUAAAGAGCUUUUGGAAUAAGGGCUGGGCAAGACCGGUGCCAGCCGCCGCGGUAACACCGGCAGCUCUAGUGGUAGCAGUUUUUAUUGGGCCUAAAGCGUCCGUAGCCGGUUUAAUAAGUCUCUGGUGAAAUCCUGUAGCUUAACUGUGGGAAUUGCUGGAGAUACUAUUAGACUUGAGACCGGGAGAGGUUAGAGGUACUCCCAGGGUAGAGGUGAAAUUCUGUAAUCCUGCGAGGGACGCCUGU
rnacentral:rRNA from 1 species